UACGUAGGGGGCUAGCGUUGUCCGGAAUCAUUGGGCGUAAAGAGCGCGUAGGCGGCCAGAUAAGUCCGGUGUGAAAGUCACAGGCUCAACCUGUGAAUGCCGCUGGAAACUGUCUGGCUAGAGUCCGGGAGGGGCGAGCGGAACAAGCGGUGGAGCGGUGAAAUGCGUAGAUAUCGCUUGGAACGCCGACGGUGAAAACAGCUCGCUGGGGAUUCGCUGACGCUGAGACACGGAAAGCCAGGGGAGCAAACGGG
rnacentral:rRNA from 1 species